UGUCUAAUUAAAACAAAGCAUUGCGAUGGCCCUCGCGGGUGUUGACGCAAUGUGAUUUCUGCCUAGUGCUCUGAAUAUCAACGUGAAGAAAUUCAAGCAAGCGCGGGUAAACGGCGGGAGUAACUAUGACUCUCUUAAGUCGUAGCGUAGAUAGAGGUCGUAGAUAGAACACUAGGAGUUCUCUCGGAGGAUGUGGGCUAUCGAAUGGGUGAUAAGCCGAUCAGCGCGCUGGGCUAUGCUGACGACAUUGUGCUCUUGUCUUCCACCAAAGUUGGUCUGCA
rnacentral:ncRNA from 1 species